UAACUUUGUACUCAGGCGGAGAACAUGGAUACCCCCUGGCUUGCCUUGACGGGACAUAACAAAAAUUGUACAACAGGUGAGAAAAGAGUGGAUGGGUGCAUCUCUCUAGCCGUGGCGUGCGAUUGUUCAUAGAAACUCUACGGCGGAGAACAUGGAUACCCCCUGGCUUGCGUAGACGGGACAGAGCAAAUCUUAUCAACAGGUGGAUUGAUUGAGCGGAGGAGAUCAUCUCUUUAGCCUUGGCGUGCAUUUUUUUUUCACUGCGACUCUAC